rnacentral:rRNA from 1 species
GUGGGGAAUAUUGGGCAAUGGGCGAAAGCCUGACCCAGCAACGCCGCGUGAGGGAAGAAGGCCUUCGGGUUGUAAACCUCUGUCCUUGGUGACGAAAAAAAUGACGGUAGCCAAGGAGGAAGCCCCGGCUAACUACGUGCCAGCAGCCGCGGUAAUACGUAGGGGGCGAGCGUUGUCCGGAAUUACUGGGCGUAAAGGGUGCGUAGGUGGCCUUUUAAGUUGGAUGUGAAAUACCCGGGCUUAACUUGGGGGGUGCAUCUAAUACUGGAGGGCUAGAGUGCAGGAGAGGGAAGCGGAAUUCCUAGUGUAGCGGUGAAAUGCGUGGAUAUUAGGAGGAACACCAGUGGCGAAGGCGGCUUUCUGGACUGUAACUGACACUGAGGCACGAAAGCGUGGGGAGCAAACAGGAUUAGAAACCCGAGUAGUCC